AGUUUAUUUAGAGCACCAGAACACUUUAGCCCGUGGGUGAAAAGGCUUGCCAGAACUCAAGUUCUAACAUCUGGCAUGGAUGAUUCCCUUCUAGUUAGGGCUGAUUUAAAUACUCCCUUCAUUGCGGUAUGGGGUGACAGGGGCUGCUGCUGGGGGAUGGGGAAGAGAUGGCAUUGGUGAUUCAAGACUCUUUGCUAUCCUCUUCAAUGCCUCUUUCAGUGUAGGAAGUUAAAAUCAGGUUAUGUAAUGGAAUUGAAUGAAGCAAGUGUCAGAUCUACAUCUCUACAAACACUCACUUUAUCAGUUCAGAGAAUAAAGAGAUGAAUUUAAUAAUGCCACUGGACACUUAUACUCUAUCGGAUCCUAAUAAUUUCUCACACUAAUGAAUUCUUCUAUCAACUUCAUGUUAAUCAAGAGGAGACAGAGCCAAGAAGUGAGUAAUUGCUUACUGAAUUGUGAAAGCUGGGAUGAUUUAACUA
rnacentral:lncRNA from 10 species